rnacentral:rRNA from 1 species
CCUACGGGAGGCAGCAGUGAGGAAUAUUGGUCAAUGGACGAGAGUCUGAACCAGCCAAGCCGCGUGAAGGAUGAAUGCCCUGCGGGUUGUAAACUUCUUUUAUAUGGGAAUAAAAUGUUCCACGUGUGGGAUUUUGUAUGUACCAUAUGAAUAAGGAUCGGCUAACUCCGUGCCAGCAGCCGCGGUAAUACGGAGGAUCCGAGCGUUAUCCGGAUUUAUUGGGUUUAAAGGGAGCGUAGGUGGAUUGUUAAGUCAGUUGUGAAAGUUUGCGGCUCAACCGUAAAAUUGCAGUUGAAACUGGCAGUCUGGAGUACAGUAGAGGUGGGCGGAAUUCGUGGUGUAGCGGUGAAAUGCUUAGAUAUCACGAAGAACUCCGAUUGCGAAGGCAGCGCACUGGACUGCAACUGACACUGAGGCUCGAAAGUGUGGGUAUCAAACAGGAUUAGAUACCCUGGUAGUC